CACCCUGUAAAAUAGAAGAUUUUAAAAAAUUAUCAGAUUGCAUUUUUAUUGACGAUGAGACAUUAAUUCUUCGUUUUAUCAAUACUAGAUGGCUUACUCUUUCUUCUUCACUUAUAAAGGUUCUAUUAAGGUAGGAAGACACCAAGAAAUAUUUUUUUGUAAAAUCCGACUGCUGUUAAUGGAAAGCUUACUAAUGAUCUUUUAAAAAUUGAUUCUUCCGAUUCAACUAUCCACCUUGAUUUGAAUAAAAUGGACUUUGGCGAGGAAGCUAAAAAAUAGGUGAACAAAAUAUCAUGUGAAAAAAAAGAUAUGUCUGCUUACAGCAAAUGAGAGAUGGAUAUAUAUCUGUUGUGAAACACUUGCAAAAAAAACUUCCACUUGAUUCACAGAUAUUAAAAGAUAUGACUUGUUUGGGUGCUCAA